UCUAUCUUUUUUGGAUUGAACCGUGCCCGACGACACACAACAUAUCCUCUACUCCACUGUUUACGGCUGCUACUUUAACUGUUAUACAUUUUUUAAACCACGUUUUCAUCAUCGCCAUGUCCGGAUAAAUGUUUUCAUUUGUAUUCCACUACUAUCAACAUCCACAUCAACUCGCUGAACAUGGAUGAUUAACCGCCUAUCCACGAACGGGACGACCACCGCCUACUGUGUACACUGUACAGUCCGAUGAUUAAUGAUAAAGAUACAAAGACCACAAUUAGUGACAAGCUGGAGUAACUCGAUUACAUACACGAGAAUGAUUCGUCUACGGGCAGCGCUUUUCAUGAAGGCAAUCGAGCAGAGAAUUGUUGAAUGCAUUGAUAACGCAGUCCGUACCUCAGUUUCAAUAACAUGGGAAAAAAGAUUGACCUAUUGCUAGAAAGUCAAAACAAUCGUCUUCCGUGUACAGUCUGAUGAUUAUUGAUAAAGAAACAUGGGCCACAAUUAAUGAAAAGCUGAAGUAUCUCG